AGUGAACGCUGGCGGUAGGCCUAACACAUGCAAGUCGAACGGCAGCACAGUAAGAGCUUGCUCUUACGGGUGGCGAGUGGCGGACGGGUGAGGAAUACAUCGGAAUCUACUUUUUCGUGGGGGAUAACGUAGGGAAACUUACGCUAAUACCGCAUACGACCUACGGGUGAAAGCAGGGGAUCUUCGGACCUUGCGCGAUUGAAUGAGCCGAUGUCGGAUUAGCUAGUUGGCGGGGUAAAGGCCCACCAAGGCGACGAUCCGUAGCUGGUCUGAGAGGAUGGUCGGCCACACUGGAACUGAGACACGGUCCAGACUCCUACGGGAGGCAGCAGUGGGGAAUAUUGGACAAUGGGCGCAAGCCUGAUCCAGCCAUACCGCGUGGGUGAAGAAGGCCUUCGGGUUGUAAAGCCCUUUUGUUGGGAAAGAAAAGCAGCAGGUUAAUACCCCACUGUUCUGACGGUACCCAAAGAAUAAGCACCGGCUAACUUCGUG
rnacentral:rRNA from 1 species